rnacentral:rRNA from 1 species
GGCUUAACACAUGCAAGUCGAACGGUAGCAGGUAAGUACUUGGACUUAUGCUGACGAGUGGCGGACGGGUGAGUAAUGCUUGGGGAUCUGGCUUAUGGAGGGGGAUAACGACGGGAAACUGUCGCUAAUACCGCGUAGAAUCGAGAGAUGAAAGUGUGGGACCUUCGGGCCACAUGCCAUAGGAUGAACCCAAGUGGGAUUAGGUAGUUGGUAGGGUAAUGGCCUACCAAGCCGACGAUCCCUAGCUGGUCUGAGAGGAUGACCAGCCACACCGGGACUGAGACACGGCCCGGACUCCUACGGGAGGCAGCAGUGGGGAAUAUUGCGCAAUGGGGGGAACCCUGACGCAGCCAUGCCGCGUGAAUGAAGAAGGCCUUCGGGUUGUAAAGUUCUUUCGGUGACGAGGAAGGUUGUUGUGUUAAUAGCGCAACAAAUUGAC